rnacentral:rRNA from 1 species
ACGAACGCUGGCGGCGCGCCUCAUACAUGCAAGUCGAACGAGAAGCCUGGAGCUUGCUCCGGGUGGAGAGUGGCGAACGGGUGAGGAACACGUGAGGAACCUGCCCCGAAGACUGGGAUAACACCGGGAAACCGGUGCUAAUACUGGAUGUCCUCACCGGAUCGCAUGGUCCGGUGAGGAAAUGGAUUCCGCUUCGGGAUGGCCUCGCGGCCUAUCAGCUUGUUGGUGGGGUAACGGCCCACCAAGGCUUCGACGGGUAGCUGGUCUGAGAGGAUGUCCAGCCACACUGGGACUGAGACACGGCCCAGACUCCUACGGGAGGCAGCAGUAGGGAAUCUUGCGCAAUGAGCGAAAGCUUGACGCAGCGACGCCGCGUGCGGGAUGAAGGCCUUCGGGUCGUAAACCGCUUUCAGCAGGGACGAAAUUGACGGUACCUGCAGAAGAAGGCCCGGCCAACUACGU